GCCCGGGUGGCAGAAUAGUGCUUUACUUUUAAGCAGUGAGAAUGUAGGAGAUCCUACCUCGGGUU
rnacentral:tRNA from 1 species